CCUUGUUGCCAGCAUGGCCUGGGACCAGUUCUCACCUCCGAAGUGUAGUUGGUCCCGUUCUCCAGCCCGGAAUCGGCUUCAUCACACCCAUCUCCCAGAGGCACCAUCUGUACAGCACCCCUUCCUCGGAGGUCUUCCUCAAAGUUGGAGGAAGAACUCCAACUUCCUCGGAGUCCUAGCUCUGUGGACGCCUCUUCUGAGUCCUUGGGGAUCUUUCAGGACUUCAUCUUUCUAAUGGCUUCAACCCACCUCAUGAGGCUCCCAGAUCUGUAUUUCCUUCCCAUCUCUCUCCCGGACACUGUCAUGUACCUUAUGGAAAUCCUAUGGUCGUCUUACCCUGUGAUGCCCGAGUAAGAAGUUGACCUAGGUACUUUCCUUUUCAGUUGGUAGAAAUCCGAGUCUUCUCUUCUCCUUGCUUAUCCACUGCCAGUCUCCAAGCGCAAGCCGUUUUCAUCUCAGUAUUUCUCAGAUCUGUUCCCUCCUUUCCAUUUCCACUAAAACUGCCCUAAAGAAGUCCCUCAUCAUCCAUUGCUUCAAUCUCUAGCUAAUCGUCCUGUCUUUAGUCCUCUGCAGGUCUACUCCACCCACGGAGGUCAGACCUGAUCACGUGGUCAGAUCUGAUCACGUGGUCCGGCCGUCACCAGCUCAGUUUCCGUCUCCGCUGUACUCCGUUUACGCUUCUGCAGCACCAGGCUGCACUGUCAGCCCUACAUCACACACCCGUACUUUGCCUGGCUAACUGCUUGAAGACUCAAGGUCACUGAUCCAGGAAGGCACCCCUAAACCUCCUCUCAUCCUCUGUCCCUCUGUGCUCCCCACAUACAGUAGAAUGAUGCUACUGAGCGUAACGGUCAAGCGUCCAGUCUUCUGAGCCUCCUUUGUUUGUGGGUCUUUCACAACACGGAACAGAGCAAAGUUCUAUCCAACUAUGAAUUUCUUUUUGCUAGAGAACAUAGAAAUGGUUGAUAUUUUAUACUGAUGGGAAGUGGUGACUUCAAAAUAUGCCUAUCAAAAUGGGAUCUUCCUGACCCAGGGAUUGAAUCUGCAUCUCCUACAAUGGCAGGUGGGUUCUUCACCACUGAGCCGCCAGAGAAGCCAUUAAGACAGAUCAAAACACAGCAUGCAGGAUCCUAGUUCCCUGGCCAAGGAUUGAACCCGUGCCCCCUGCACUGGAAGCACAAGUCUUAACCACUGGACCUUUGGUGAAGUCCCUAUCGUUACUGAGUUUAACGCAGCCUUGGUUACUGUGAUAAGCUUCUCCUGAAAAUAACAGAAAGAAAUACACAAAUAGGAAGGCAUCCCAUUGCAAAGUCAACAUAUUAUCCAUCUAAGACAGAAACUGCUAUACAGGAGUCACUGGGGAGAUGCCGGAGCAGACAGAAACAAGCCCCGGGCCCCCUGGCAUCGGGCGAGGGGCACUGAGGGGACAGACGUGGCAGCCAAGCUCUGGAAAACACUUGGGAAGCCAUCCCACUGACCAACAUGAGUACUGAGGACUCUGCACUUCCCAUUCUUUCAGCUGACUUAAAGAACUGUCACUUUGGUCAUCAGUCCAAGCUGCAUGUGAAACAUUCAAGAUAAGUUCAUUUUGGAAGGGGGCGGCAGGAGGGACCGUAGAUGUCAAGGUUGAGAGAUGUAAUGUUUUUAGAGCUUAAUGAGAAGCAGUAUCAUUAAAGAAUUCACAUCUGUACAACAUUAAAAGUCCACUAUGUUGUCAA
ensembl:lncRNA